UGGGCGUCCUCUGGUUCCAGAAGUCUCACUCCCAGCCGCUCCUUCCGCUCCCGAGCGUUACCAAAGCGCCGCUUCUCACCGCACCCGGCUCCCGGGCGCGCCGAGCCGGUGCGCUGGCCCCUCGGGCGCCCUUUGCCCGCGCGGUGUCCCCGGGCUGCGGCAGACCCGGUCGCGAGCGCGGCGCGCAGGGCGGCAGGAGCUGCGCUCCGCCAGGUCUGGGUGCCGGGACUGGGAGAGGCGGCGAGAGCGAGAGCGAGAGCGGGGAGGACCAGGAGGAGGAGCAGGAACAGGGGGCAGUCUGUUAAAUCGACCGAGCCCCUGUUUGAGUUUCCUGAGCCAUACAGCAAAUCCCCGUUGGCUAUCUACUUUACACAUGGUAAUUCUUGAGGAAGAAGAAUGGAGCUGGAAAAAUCAACCUUCCUAACUUCAGAUUAUACUACAAAGCUACAGUCAUCAAAACAAUAUGGUACUGGCACAAAAACAGAAGUAUAGACCAAUGGAACAAGAUAGAAAUCCCAGAAAUAUCCUAUAAUAAUUUUAAAACAACAAAAUUAUGCUUUUUUUUUUUUUUUUGCUGUGUAGUGAGUGG
ensembl:lncRNA